UUUAGGAGGGGCUUGCGCCAUAUUAGUUAGUUGGUAGGGUAAGGGCCUACCAAAACAAUGAUGUGUAGCUGGACUGAGAGGUUGAACAGCCACAUUGGGACUGAAACACGGCCCAAACUCCUACGGGAGGCGACAAUAGGGAAUUUUCGGCAAUGGAGGAAACUCUGACCGAUCAACGCCGCGUGAAUGACGAAGUACUUCGGUAUGGAAAGUUCUUUUAUCAAGGAACAAAAGCAAAUGGCGAACCAUUUGUUUGCCGGUACUUGAUGAAUAACCCCCGGCUAAUUAUGUGCCAUCAGCCGCGGUAAGACAUAAGGGGCAAGUGUUAUCCGGAAUUAUUGGGCGUAGAGGGUGCCUAGGCGGUCUACUACGUCAAUGUUGUAAUGGCAACCCUUAACAUUGUCCGGCUAUUGAACCUGCUAAACUUGGAUUAGAUAGAGGCGAGUGGAAUUCCAUGUGUAGCGGUAAAAUGCGUAAAUAUAGGGAGGAACACCAAAGGCGUAGGCGGCUCGCUGGGUCUUAACUGACGCUGAGGCACGAAAGCGUGGGGAGCAAACAUGAUUAGAUACCCUGGUAGUCCACGCCGUAAACGAUGAGUACUCUUGUCGGGUUAAACCGGUACUGAAGUUAACACAUUAAGUACUCCACCUGAGUAGUACAUACCCAAGUAUGAAACUUAAAGGAAUUGACGGGACUCCGCACAAGCGGUGGAUCAUGUUGUUUAUUCGAAGAUACCCAAAUAACCUUACCGGGUCUUGACUUGUUUUUACAGAAUGACAGAAAUAUCGAGGAGGUUACCAGAAACACGGGUGGUGCGUGGUUGACUUCAGCUCGUGUCGAGAAACGUUACGUUAAGUCCUAAGCCGAGCAACCCCUUAUCGUUAGGGGCCACCUUGUUGAGCGCGGGACUUGAGGGAGACUGCCUGUGAUCAACUGAGGGAAGGUGAGGAUCACGUCAAACCAGCAUGCCCCUUAUGACCUGGGCUACAAGCUGUCUAUGAUGUCUGUACCAAAGAGUAGCUGAAACCCAUGUUCCUGGACGAU
rnacentral:rRNA from 1 species